AUACUUACCUGGCAGGGGAGAUAGCAUGAUCAUGAAGGUGGUUUUCCCAGGGUAAGGCUCAUCCAUUGCACUCUGGAUGUGCUGACCCCUGCGAUUUCCCCAAGUGUGAGAAACAACUGCAUAAUUUGUGGUAGUGGGGGAACUGUGUUUGAGCUUUCCCAUA
ensembl:snRNA U1 U1 spliceosomal RNA